UGGUCCAGAGCGUGCCAUGUUGGCCUGUUGGGACUUGAUGGUUAUAAUCGUGUCGUCCAUUAGCUUCAUAUUUUUUUGAGUAAAGAAGAAACUACAAAACAACUAAAUAUAUCACAACUAUUAUUAAAUAAACAAAAUAUUCAAUUAAGUAUUACUUUUACUGACAUGAUGAAAUCCUAUUUUAUUUUAAAAUUAUAGAAGUAUAACAACCUAGUGAUGAAUCCAAUUACCAGAGAAAACAAUGUUUUUUUUUAAGCUAGCAGAUAAUCACUUUGGUAGAAAUAUGGUCUUCUUUUAAGCUAUGCACGUUGAUGAAGGGGAUUAAAAGAAAAAGUUAAGGUGAGUGAUCUGGUAAUAUUCGUGGCAAAUGUAAAACUAUUCAUAAUAAAUAACCUUUUGAUGACUAUAAAAAUUAAGAAUUAUGAAGCAUGUAACAACUUACAUCUGCUUCAAAAAAAAAAAACUUACAUCUGCUCCUAAAGGUUAAGCUCCACAAUUCUAAUUCUGUUUUCGGCCUAUUACCUCUGUAGCCCAUAAAAGCAUAAA
rnacentral:lncRNA from 1 species